rnacentral:rRNA from 1 species
UACAUGGGGUGCAAACGUUGCUCGGAAUUAUUGGGCGUAAAGAGCUCGUAGGCGGUCUGUCGCGUCGGUCGUGAAAACUUGGGGCUUAACCCUGAGCUUGCGGUCGAUACGGGCAUGACUGGAGUUCGGCAGGGGAGACUGGAAUUCCUGGUGUAGCGGUGAAAUGCGCAGAUAUCAGGAGGAACACCGGUGGCGAAGGCGGGUCUCUGGACAGUUCCUGACGCUGAGGCACGAAGGCCAGGGGAGCAAACGGG